rnacentral:rRNA from 1 species
GGGGAAUAUGCGCCAAUGGGGGGAACCCUGAUCCAGCCAUGCCGCGUGUGUGAAGAAGGCCUUGUGGUUGUAAAGCACUUCAAGCGAGGCGGAGGCGCUUUUGGUUUAUACCAAAGAUGAGUGGACGUUACUCGCAGACUAAGCCCGUGCUACGUCUGUGCCAGCAGCCGCGGUAAUACAGAGGGUGCGGGCGUUAAUCGGAUUUACUGGGCGUAAAGCGUGCGUAGGCGGCUUUUUAAGUCGGAUGUGAAAUCCCCGAGCUUAACUUGGGAAUUGCAUUCGAUACUGGGAAGCUAGAGUAUGGGAGAGGAUGGUAGAAUUCCAGGUGUAGCGGUGAAAUGCGUAGAGAUCUGGAGGAAUACCGAUGGCGAAGGCAGCCAUCUGGCCUAAUACUGACGCUGAGGUACGAAAGCAUGGGGAGCAAACA